UACGUAGGGGGCAAGCGUUGUCCGGAUUUAUUGGGCGUAAAGAGCGUGUAGGCGGCUAGGUAGGUCCGUUGUGGAAACUCGAGGCUCAACCUCGAGACGCCGAUGGAAACCAUCUGGCUAGAGUCCGGAAGAGGAGAGUGGAAUUCCUGGUGUAGCGGUGAAAUGCGCAGAUAUCAGGAAGAACACCGGUGGCGAAGGCGGGUCUCUGGGCCGAUACUGACGCUGAGGAGCGAAGGCGUGGGGAGCGAACAGG
rnacentral:rRNA from 1 species